rnacentral:rRNA from 1 species
AGCGGGAAAAGCUCAAAUUUAAAAUCUGGCGUCCUCCGGGCGUCCGAGUUGUAAUCUGGAGAAGCGUUUUCCGCGUCGGACCGUGUACAAGUCUUCUGGAACGGAGCGUCAUAGAGGGUGAGAAUCCCGUCUCUGACACGGACUACCGAUGCUUUUGUGAUGCGCUCUCGAAGAGUCGAGUUGUUUGGGAAUGCAGCUCAAAAUGGGUGGUAAAUUCCAUCUAAAGCUAAAUAUUGGCCAGAGACCGAUAGCGAACAAGUACCGUGAGGGAAAGAUGAAAAGCACUUUGGAAAGAGAGUUAAACAGUACGUGAAAUUGUUGAAAGGGAAACGCUUGAAGUCAGUCGCGUUGGCCGAGACUCAGCCUGGCUUGCCUGGUGUACUUCUCGGUUGACGGGUCAGCAUCAGUUUUGACCGUCGGAUAAAGGUUGGAGGAAUGUGGCAUCCCUCGGGAUGUGUUAUAGCCUCUGAUUCGCAUACGGCGAUUGGGACUGAGGAACUCAGCACGCCUUUAUGGUCGGGGUUCGCCCACGUAACGUGCUUAGGAUGCUGGCAUAAUGGCUUUAAGCGACCCGUCUUGAAACACGGACCAAGGAGUCUAACAUGCCCGCGAGUGUUUGGGUGUUAAACCCGAGCGCGUAAUGAAAGUGAAAGUUGAGAUCCCUGUCG